UACGUAGGGUGCAAGCGUUAAUCGGAAUUACUGGGCGUAAAGCGUGCGCAGGCGGUUUUGUAAGUCUGACGUGAAAUCCCCGGGCUCAACCUGGGAAUUGCGUUGGAGACUGCAAGGCUAGAAUCUGGCAGAGGGGGGUAGAAUUCCACGUGUAGCAGUGAAAUGCGUAGAGAUGUGGAGGAACACCGAUGGCGAAGGCAGCCCCCUGGGGCAAGAUUGACGCUCAUGCACGAAAGCGUGGGGAGCAAACAGG
rnacentral:rRNA from 1 species